rnacentral:rRNA from 1 species
GAACGCUGGCGGCGUGCUUAACACAUGCAAGUCGAACGGUGACGAGGAGCUUGCUCCUCUGAUCAGUGGCGAACGGGUGAGUAACACGUGAGCAACCUGCCCCAGACUCUGGGAUAACAGUUGGAAACAGCUGCUAAUACCGGAUACGAGACGGAGAGGCAUCUCUACCGUCUGGAAAGUUUUUCGGUCUGGGAUGGACUCGCGGCCUAUCAGCUAGUUGGUGAGGUAAUGGCUCACCAAGGCGACGACGGGUAGCCGGCCUGAGAGGGCGACCGGCCACACUGGGACUGAGACACGGCCCAGACUCCUACGGGAGGCAGCAGUGGGGAAUAUUGCACAAUGGGCGAAAGCCUGAUGCAGCGACGCCGCGUGAGGGAUGACGGCCUUCGGGUUGUAAACCUCUUUCAGCAGGGAAGAAGCGAAAGUGACGGUACCUGCAGAAGAAGCACCGGCUAACUACGUG